rnacentral:rRNA from 1 species
GUAGGUGGCAAGCGUUGUCCGGAAUUAUUGGGCGUAAAGCGCGCGCAGGCGGUCCUUUAAGUCUGAUGUGAAAGCCCACGGCUCAACCGUGGAGGGUCAUUGGAAACUGGGGGACUUGAGUACAGAAGAGGAAAGCGGAAUUCCAAGUGUAGCGGUGAAAUGCGUAGAGAUUUGGAGGAACACCAGUGGCGAAGGCGGCUUCUGGUCUGUAACUGACGCUGAGGCGCGAAAGCGUGGGGAGCAAACAGGAUUAGAUACCCUGGUAGUCCACGCCGUAAACGAUGAGUGCUAAGUGUUAGGGGGUUUCCCGCCCCCCUUAGUGCUGCAGCUAACGCAUUAAGCACUCCGCCUGGGGAGUACGGCCGCAAGGCUG